ensembl:lincRNA
CUCCAGUCCACCUGCUCCCACUCAAGGGGACCACCCUUCAAGAGACCCUCACCCUGCCCAUCAGUGCCCAAGAGAGGCGGGCAUCCAACAGCACCAUCUCUCUCUCCUUUCCCUUGCAGCUCCCUCUGCAGGAAGACCAGUGAGGCCUGCAAGAUGGCCUCCUGAGGUCAAGCCACUGAGCUGCAGGACAAAGAUGAUCUUUCUGGACCCCUGAUAUCCAGACCCCGUCUCAUCUUUCAGCAUGUUCAGAGUGUCUGUGGCUGCUGUGGGCAGAGAGGAGGUACUGGGGAAGUCCUGGCAGACUUAUCUACUAGCAGAGAGACUAAGCCUCCAUGCCACCCCAACUCCCGCUGCCCUUUUGACUGAGCUCUGAACACAAGUUAGAGGAGCUGGGGGAAGCUCCAAGCAGUCAGUACAUCAGCUGGUGAGCAUGUGGCGUGUUCCAUGUCAUGCUCAGCGCUGCGGAGAACAUCCCCACACAUAUCACAGCUCGAAUUCUCCGGUUGGGAAGGCAAGACUCACAGACAGAGAACAGUCAAAAAAGUCUUCAAGAGGCCCCUGGCGUAGUCUGAGGAGCCCUGGACAGAGCUUCUGGCCCCAGCAGUUCUUGGACCUGGGGUACUUUCCUCCCUGCAAGCAGCAAAGGAGGACAAGCCCCAGCUUCUCUAAGAUACCUUCGGCUGCCUGGAAGAGGCCUGUGGAAGGCCCUGCAUCUCUCCGCAGACCUCUGGGCGUUGCUGUUUCUUCUCAGUGGCCCUGGUCUCCUCAGCCAGGCCUUAUCUGGAGCUGUCAUUGACAGAACUCAGAUUGUGAUAGGCAAAUUGACUUCAGUGUCAGAGACAGGAAACCCAGUGAUGCAUCUCCCAGUGUCUGGAGAGCGAGGAGAUAAGAGAGCGGAGAUGGGCUGCCUCGGCCAGCAGCACCGACGCGGAGACUCAGCCAGGGAAGCGGGGCUUCUGCGACUCCGGCUCAGGCACUGGAGUCCUGAGUGCUGGGGAGCCUGGAUUGAUUCUCACCCCCCACGUGAUGUCGAAGAACAAAAGGAGGGUGGAGCACCCCCGAGAGUGUACUGAGCCCUUCCUGAGGGCUGCUCUAAGACAACCCAAGUCUUUCCUAGCAGGAAUCAGACAUCUACAGCAGGGACCCUUAGCCCCCAAAUGCCACAUCCUCCAUGUAGGGCCAGUCACUGCCCUGGCAGUUAGGAGGGGAUGGGUGAGAGCUGCUGCCGAAAGAGGAGCAGCCGUUCUGAUGCCAUCAUACCUCUGCUUGUCCCCGUUACAUAAAGCUCCAGCUGACUUGGCGUCAUGACUAAGAAAACUUUCCAAACUUUCCGAAGACAGUUGGUGAUCCUCUACCCUCCCGGUGACUGGUGAGAACUACCCCCACAGAGAGCCAGCAGAGAGGAAGGCUCCCAGCUCCGGGCCCUGACUCAUCACACACACAAACACUCCCCAGCACUCUUUCCCAAAACAGUUCCCCUCCCACCCAUCCACCCUCCUACCAGGGCUGGGUGACAAAAAUGAACACCCCAGAGAUCUUGCCAAGUGCUGGGCCAUGCUCAGCCCAGGGAACAUGCAAUCCCCAUAGAAUGGGAGGGGCAGACCCCUGCCCCCUCUGGAAGCAAACAGCGUCGUUGGAAGGAAAAUUGCCACCUGACUCUACAACGAGCACGAUAUUGUUUUCCAAAUAGCUUGGACUACUUUCCCCCAAAAAAGAGUUCAAAGCUCUAUAAUCACAAAAUCCUAGAGCUUAAGGCAAGCUUAAAGGUCAUCUUUAGCCCCUCUCCCCUUCCCUGCUUCCAUGCAUCUACACCUGGAUUCAUUUCUCUAUUUGUUCAUCAGAUAGUCACUGGGUUCCUACAAUCUGCCAUGUGCAACGCAGGCUCUGGAGGCCCCACAGACAUACUGUUUCCUCAAGGCGCUUGUCAUCCAGUGGGUGAGAAAGCAAGUGACAAGGCGUUGGAAUAAGUAUGACAGGCACUGUGGUAGGAAGAGUGCAUGUUCUAGAAGCACUGAGAGGGCAUGUCACCCCCACCUUGGGGUAGUGGGGGGAAUUCAUGGAGACUUACUGGGAGAUAUCAUAUAUAUAUAUAUGUACAUAAUAAAUAUAAAAAUGUAUUAUAAGUAAAUA